UCACUGUCCCCCUAGGCCUGGGUUAGAGUCUAGGAGUGCAGGGUAUUUACUGUGGUUUCAGCUUGGAGAGCGUCCAUGUGGGUCAGCCAGUUAGUAUUUUAAAAAUUGCAUUUCUGGCGUAAUCUGCAGGAACCAAGCAUGGAGACAAAAAUCACUCGAUGAGCAGGAUGGCUAAAUUAGCGGUUCUCAGCUUGGGAGGUGUGGCCUUGUUAGAGUGGGUGUGGCCUUGUUGGAGGAAGCACAUCACAGAUCCAGAUGCAGAACUCUCAGCAAUUCCUACAGCACCACGCCUGCCUGGAUGCUGCUGUGCUUCCUGUUGUGAUGAUAAAAUGGACGGAACCUCUGAAACUGUAAGCCAGCCCCAGUGAACCGGGUUCUUUAUAAGAGUUGCCUCAGUCAUGGUAUUUCCUCACAGCAACAGAAUCCCUAACUAAGACGCCACCUAACUAGAUAGUGAGCUGCACUCUUAGCCAUUACAAUCCCACCCCACUCAAAUGUCCCAUGACAUUUCCUACCCGCUCCUUCUCAACAAAGUGACUCUCCCUGAGAACUGGCCUGCUGUGUUUAUGUCUGUUUAAUAGCAGACUGCUUACUGAAACCUUUAUCUCAGUUCGCUCUGCUAAGUAUUUUCUCCGCCUCACCGUGACACACUGUUGACACAAUGGUGACAUCACAGCCAGCAGCAGUUUGCUCAGAGCAAAGAAGGUGAGUUAGGUCCACUGGAAGAGCGGGAGACUGAGCCUGUCCGCAAGGCCUCUGCUGCCGCUGGCCUGGCCGCCGCUGGAGAGAGAAGCACGGUCAUGCUAAAGAGCAGCUGAGCUUUUUAACAGCUCGUUUAUUCUUCCUCUAAUUCAGCCCUGAAGAAUUACCUGGGCACACUUGAAUCACCUUUGGGGGCUUGUAGCACACACCUGAGGAGAUUACAGUGAUUUCCUGAAGGAUUCCUUGACUUGAUGAUAACUCGGGAAGGAAUGAAGACAGAAACAGCACGUGCAGGAGAAACCUAGGAUUGCUUCUGCUGUUAGGCGGGUAUGGGCUGCUGCAGAGACACAACUGGAUAGAAGCAUGCUCCAGGAGGAUGGGGAGGUUCCAUGGGUUCCCAGUCUCCUGGGCUCAAGGUCCCUGCUGUGGGGCACACUUCCUUCCAUCACAUACUCUAAAUGCAGGCUCGAUUGGCUGACAGUAUGUAUGCUUUCGGAAUCAAACCAGGAAGUGGAAGACUGUAGUGAGGCACAGUGACACUUUUCAUCCUCUGUUCUUACUCUGGGAAGAUCUACCCACAUCUUUCCAGUCCGGUAGGUACCAGAGCUCAGAUGAUGAUGUGUUAGUCACUUUCUUGCUGUGACAAAAUGCUGAUGAAAGCAACUUAAAGAGGAAAGGGUUUCUUUAGCUCACAGUUUGAGGUACAGUCAGUCUAGGGUGACACCAAAGCUUGGGGCAGCUACAAUCAGGAAGAAGAGAAAGAUGAAAGUUUGUGCUCUGCUGGCUUUCUCCUUUCUGUUCAGUCUAGGACCUAGCCUAGGGGAUGGUGCCACCCACAGUGGACAGGUCUUCCCACCUCUUUAACCCAAACUAUAUGAGCCUCACAGACAAGCCCAGAGGCUUGUUUCUAGGUGAUUCUAGAUCCUGAGUAGUGGCAUUAUGGAUGUGAGCCACCACAAACUCUCUUCACCUACAUUAGAAAUUAUUGGUUUUGGUUUUGAUUUUGGGAGAGUCUCAUGUGGACCAGGCUGGCCUGAAACUCAGAGAUCCACCUGUCUCUGCUUCCAGAAUGCUGGUAUCAAAGGUAGGUACCUCUGAUGCCCAGCUUCCAACGCAUUUAUUUUUAUAUGCUAUUAUCUUCUAAAAGUGUCUUCCUGUUUUAUACGAGAGUGGAAAUGAGAAAUAUCUCCCCUAUGGAAAUAAAACCACUCACUCAUAACAAAGUUGGUUUUCCAGUCUUCUAAGCAUUGAGAGGAGCGCUGCCGAAAUCAGAGCUAUCUCAGCAGCCUUUGUUCUUCUUGCUGUUCAUUCAAUUUUGGGUUAAUGAGGCAAUAUGUUUGACAGACAUUGUUCUACCAACAAUUAUGUGAGCAGCUUAAUAUUUGUUUGCAUUUUCUCCCCUCAACAGAAUAGAACUGAGCACGCUGCCCUCUUGGGUUCGUCUGGAAUGCAGAGUGGGGAUUUAAUGUUGGUCAAAAGAGACAGCAGUCAGAGCUCAGCCUGGUCCUUGUCACCAGCAAACCCAGAGCUCACGAAGUGCUUGGUUUAUGAAGUUUGAUUACGGAGAGGAGCAGUCUCCUGACACAAGAGCGGCUGUCUAUUGAUCGUCCACGAUGGCCAGGGCAAUCUGAUAAGUGGUCUAGUCUAUGGCCUCAAAGCCUCAAAGCCUCAAGAGGGCUCAGUGGGAAAGUCAGCAGGGCUCAGUACUUGCUCUAAUAGGAUUUCAGAGAGGAGGAAAACUGAGACAAACAUUUAUCACUGACUUACCGCGUACUAGUAUUGUUUCUGGUUUUUGUGGUGCUGUGGACUAAAGCCAGUCUCUGCCAUCUAUCAGGCAAGCGCUUUAUCACUGGGCUACACCAGUGGCUCCUGCUAUGCCUUAAUGUGUUCACAGAGAGCACCCAAGAUCCUAUAAAAAUAGAGCCUGCGUGGCCACCAUUUUGUAGAGCGGGGAGUUGAGCUUCGUUAAGGCUAUCAAAUAUCUUCUUUGAGUUAUGGAAAGUACCAGAGCUGGGAUUUGGGCAGAGAGGUAGACAGACGGGGACAGAGGCCAUGUCUAGGUAAGAAACAUGGAGAACUUCCAAGAUGGCUGGCCGGAGACUAAAGCCUGGCAGCUUAAAACAAAAGACCUCUUUGACUUUCAUUCUCUCCAGGAGGGCUCCUUGUCGAUUGAAUUGGAGGGCUCCUCCAAGCCAGAUCAGGACAGGCUUAUGCCAAAGUAUCGGCUGCCCUGUCUGUUCAAACCACUGUCUCAAACCUGGGACUAACAGAGAGCUGCCUAAUUAACAUAUCAAAAUGGAUGGGCCUGGCCAUCAGGUGCUCCCAGCAUCCCUCAGACUCUAGCUGAUUAUACAGGGCAACCCAGUCCAGCUGGAGUUUGGGGUAGGAAGCUGGGUGUGCUGGGGUUUGAGACCUAGCACUGCUUUACACUUAAUUAAAUACUCUUAAAACCCCAGCUCUUUGGGAGAAGUGGAA